CCUACGGGAGGCAGCAGUAGGGGAUAUUGCACAAUGGGGGAAACCCUGAAGCAGCAACGCCGCGUGGAGGAUGAAGGUUUUAGGCUUGUAAACUCCUUUUGUGAGGGAAGAUAAUGACGGUAUCUCACGAAUAAGCCCCGGCUAACUCCGUGCCAGCAGCCGCGGUAAUACGGAGGGGGCAAGCGUUACCCGGAAUCACUGGGUGUAAAGAGUGCGCAGACGGGCUUGUAAGCCAGAUGUGAAAUCCUGUAGCUUAACUCCAGAACUGCAUUUGAAACUAUGAGUCUAGAGUGUGGGAGGGGUAGGUGGAAUUCUUGGUGUAGGGGUAAAAUCCGUAGAUAUCAAGAGGAAUACUCAUUGCGAAGGCGACCUACUGGAA
rnacentral:rRNA from 1 species